rnacentral:ncRNA from 2 species
UCGACUCCCGGUGUGGGAACCA